GUGAAUCAUCAAAUUUUUGAACGCAAAUUGCACUCUCUUCGGUGAGUAUGCCUGUUUGAGGGUCAGCCUAAAAAAAAAUUGAAAUAGUUGCUGUUUCGCGGUGACAUUCGUCGGAAAUUGGGUCAUCUUAAACCUUUGGGAUUUAAGCGGCUUAAAAUUUACUUUUUGAUUCCACGAACGUUUAUAUGUAUUACUUCUUAU
rnacentral:misc_RNA from 1 species